ACUACUUGAAGCAAGUGUAGUAUCUGUUCUUAUCAGUUUAAUAUCUGAUACGUGGGCUAUCGACCCACAUGAUAUUAUAUUAAUUUUUUCUUGGGGAGGGCCCACUACAUUAGCUUGCUAUUGGGGUCCUCAAGCAUCGCCCUUUCGUUGCACUACUUUACGGGCCUGGCGCACCCCUA
rnacentral:snRNA from 1 species